GGCCUUUAAAAGGAAGAGCUGACUUCAAACACAUGCCGUCUAGCGGCCCACUGAUCAGAUAAAUCAUUGCAUUCAGAACAAAAUAAAUAAAAGCACGUUAAUUGAUUAGGAUAAUUGAUAUUUUUUUUCUAAUGGUAAAAUACCCCAUUGACAUCUUCAAAAUGAUCUCCGAUCCCCAGUGGAUACAUAGAUAAAUACAAUUGUCAAGAACAAUAUAGCAUUGGAUUUAAAGCAAGUAAUUUGGAUAAAUUAUUAUCCAAAGAUAAUAAUUAAUGAGCCGGCGUACGUGAUAGAAGCAUCUAGAAGCCAGUAGAAAAAGGUGCAGCUAAACACCUGGUCAUCAUUUUAUCAGACUACCAUCGUAACAGCUACUAUAAUAAAAACAAAAUGACAAAAAUGUCCUGAGAUGGUCUCGAAAAUCACCUGCGUCCUCCUCCACCGAAAUAACGUGUCUAAUCCGACAAGAGAUACGGAAGUGACUAGACCAUGUCGUUCUCCCCUUUCCUUCCCUUGUCCGAAAACUCAAUUACCCAGAUUAGCCACUCACCUGACCCAACAACCCAUCAUGCACUUCCUACGCUUUCCCAGUAAUUCAAAUAAUUGGUGAUUAUAACAAUUGUUUUUAAUGUAUUUUUUAUCUAUAAAUAUAUUAAAAUAAUAUUUUUUAUUUUUAAAAUUUUAUUUUUCUAUACUAGUAUAAUUUUAAAACAUAAAAACUAUUAAUUUCAAAAAUUUUCAAUAACACUUUUUAAAUAAUCUAAAAAUAUAAAAAAUUUAAAUUUAAAAAAAUUUAAAAACACUUGAAAAAACAAACAUAUUCCAAAUCACGCAACAACGACAACCAUUACUUAAAAUAAAUAAAAAAUCACAAAUUAAAAAAAAACCCUUGAAACAAAAACAUAAAUUAAAUAUUCAAACUUUAGAUUAUAUUUUAGGGAGGUGUUUGACAGUGUAACCAAAAUGAUGUUCGCCUAAAAUGAAGCAUUAAAAUAAAUAAAAUAACACAUUACAAAAAAUAUUUAAAAAAAUAAUAUAAUUUAAAGAGUCGUAGAUGGUCGUAAGUGUCAUAUACAAUUUACUUCAAUUUCAAAAAUAAACUGACAUAAUUUACAAUAAAAAAAAACAAGAGAGCAGAGGGAAAAACAAGGGGGGAAAGCCCGAAGACACAUCAAAACUCUGAUAAUGACACCACCGAUACAGUUAAAAAAAUAUCAACAAGACAAAUUCAAUAACACCAAGAAAUGUCAUAAACGGUGACCAGAGUAGGCCACAUGAGUUAUCCAAAUGUACCAGAACUCAUUUGCAUUCGAAUAGCUUGUGUGGUAUACUCCAGUCAUCGUUGAUGACAUUCCUUGAUGUUUUUGGAUUAGUCUCGUAAAGAUCUUUCAAACUUUACUAGUGGUAUCAUUAUCAUAGUUUUGGUGUAUCUCUGAAGUUUUUUUUUUCUCUAUAUCCAUAAAUUACAAGGAGAGAGAUAAACAAAAAAAAAAAGUUUAGAGACACACAGAAGUUUCGAUAAUGACACCACUAGUACCGUUGAAAAAAUCUCGAGGAAACGAAUCCAACGACAUUAAAAAAAAUCACCAACAAUGACUGGAGUGUAUAACAAGAGCCGUUCGAAGGUAAAUGAACCCCAACACAUUUGAACAACUCGUGUAGCCUACUUUAAUUACUGUUCUUGACUUUUCUCGUCGAUAUUUUUGCAACAAUAUCAAUAAUAUCAUCAUCAAAAUUUUGAUAUUUUCAGUAUUUUUUUCUCUUUCCCUCUUUUUCUUUUUUUUUUUAUUAUAAAUUAUAUUAGUUAAUUUUUAGAAUUAAAGAGAGUCAUAACCGAAACUUGUGGAAGUAAUCUAUAACUUUCUAAAAUUAUGUUAUAUUUUUAAAUAUUUUUUAUAUUGUGUUAUCUUACUUGUUUUUUAAGUUUUAAAGUAAAAUAUUUAUUUUUUUAAAAAAAAUAAUAUUUUAUAGUUUAAAAUUAUUUUGAUAUAAUAAAUUAAAAAAAAUUAAUAUAUUUAAAAAAAAAAAAAACCCUUGAAAAGGCAAACCUCUAAACACGGCUUUAUUAUUGUCCGGAUCUGCACCGCGUCAAAAGGUAAAAAGUGAAAGUAGCGUGCAGCGACUUUACCAUCGAGCAUCCACUCAUGCCAACUGCGCAGCAGCUUCCUCAUUUCUUUCUUUUCAUCUCCUUUUCGUAUGUUUAAAAUCCCA
rnacentral:lncRNA from 1 species